UACGGAGGGUGCAAGCGUUAAUCAGAAUUACUGGGCGUAAAGGGUGCGUAGGUGGUUGUAUAAGUUAUCUGUGAAAUCCCUGGGCUUAACCUAGGAAGGUCAGAUAAGACUGUAUGACUCGAGUAUGGGAGAGGGUAGUGGAAUUUCCGGUGUAGCGGUGAAAUGCGUAGAGAUCGGAAGGAACACCAGCGGCGAAGGCGGCUACCUGGCCCAAUACUGACACUGAGGCACGAAAGCGUGGGGAGCAAACAGG
rnacentral:rRNA from 1 species